GCGGGCGUAGUUCAGCGGUAGAACGCCAGCUUCCCAAGCUGGAUGUCGUGGGUUCGACUCCCAUCGCCCGCUCCA
rnacentral:tRNA from 1 species